UACGUAGGGGGCAAGCGUUGUCCGGAUUUACUGGGCGUAAAGCGCGUGUAGGCGGAAGCGAAAGUCCGGUGUGAAAGCCCCCCGCUCAACGGGGGAAGGUCGCUGGAAACUGCGCUUCUUGAGGGCGGCAGAGGGAAGUGGAAUUGCUGGUGUAGCGGUGAAAUGCGUAGAGAUCAGCAGGAACACCCGUGGCGAAGGCGGCUUCCUGGGCCGCGCCUGACGCUGAGACGCGAAAGCUAGGGGAGCAAACGGG
rnacentral:rRNA from 1 species